UUGACCGCAGCACAUCCGUUUUCCUUACAGUAUGUAGUACGCAUUCUACCUUUUCCUACAAUGAAUCCACCAGCAGAAAUUCCUGUACACAUCUUAUCAACAAAGAAUUUGAACCUCAAAGAGUGGCUCAAAGAGGUCAGGAGGCACCUUCAACACUUUUAUUGGAGAUCUCCUUGUCUAGAUCAUCAGCACUAGGAAAGGAUGCGACCUGGAUGGCAGAUAGCAGACAUCUAGUCACUGAAAAGGAGAUCCUUCACUCUAGGAAAUUGUUAUGCAUGCUCACAGAUUAGUCUCUUACGACUUUGUUUACUGGACAGUCAAUCUCUCUGAGUCCAAUUAAGAUUAUAUUUCUUGUGUACAAAAGAGACCCUAGAUUUGAGUAAAUUCAUCAAAUAUGAAUGUACUACCAUCAAAUUUUUGUGCUACCUCUGGGAAGCCAACUAAUCACCUUUCUUUGUAGUUAUAUAUAACUUUUAUAUCUGCCUCUCAAUUAUUAGCUCUUUGAGGUCAGGAACUGGGUUUUAUCUAUCUGUGUUUUCCAAUAUUCCAAAACAAAGGCUUAAGAAAAUUACACCAAUAAGUUAAAACAUUAGGCAAAAUGGAUAAAUAUGUAAAACAAACAAAGAAAAAACCAAAUUGACACACACACACACAACCAAGAAGUUUAAAUGGUCAAUAAGCAUUAAAGAAAUUAGAAUGGUAGUCAGGUAUCUUGUCCCUCAAAUAUCAGUGUCUUUAUAGUUUUAAGGAUGAGCUCUAACAGACUUUCAAGGAACAAUGAGUUUCUAUUGCUUUCCAUGUUGUUGCAGAAAAUGUAAAAUGAGCCUAGCAUGAUCAUGAUUCCAAAACCAGAUAGGAAAAGGAGUCUAUGGACCCAUGUUAAUUGUGAAUCCCAAGUAAAGGACGUCUACUUCAGCUUAAGAUUGAGAAACUUGCAAGAAUAUGCCACUCUCAUCCUAAUAAUAAGAACAAUCUGAGAAAUCAUGUUGUUUUUAAACCCAAUUGAUAGCUGAAAAAGAAAACAACAACAAACAAACAAACAAACUAAUGAACAGAAAUCCAGAAAGUGAUGAGCCCUUCAUAGGAAAGAUGAGAUCCACAAACUGCUCUCAUCCUUGGCAUGUAGCAGGAAGAGGAAGAAUCUGCCUGAGACACAGGGAAAAAGAAAUCUGUUGAAAUGUUAACAGAUGUUAAAGCCCAAGUGUGAGCUGGUAUUAUAUGAUGAUUUAGUAUCUCUAGGAUCCUCAGACACAGAGAGGCUCUCUGUGCCCCUCUGUUUUCACAGUCCUUUAUGGAAUCUCAGGAGAAAGAUUGAGGUGAGGGAGCAGGUGAGUUGAGAGAGACCUCAGGACUCCUGCUGGCACAAGCAUGAGAGAUCUUGCUAGUCAACUACAGUCUAAGUGGAUUCAGACCCCAUACUAGUAGCCUAACAGAAGGAGCAUUUCUUUUUUUGCAUAUAAAUGUGAUUUACUUCAUUCUCUACUGUUCUUUUACACACAGUGCCUAGUAGUCAAUCCAAAAUUAUGGGGCAUGAAAAGAAAUAAGAAAAUUUGACCCAUUUCUUAAUAAAAUGUGGAAGAAAAGAACAGGAUAAAGAAAAGAGAAGCUAGCCUACGAGAUAUUAAGAUGUUAUAAGUCUUAAUGCUAUGAUAGAUCCUAGGUAACAAUGAAAACAGCGUCAUGUUGAACUAAGAAUAGACAUAUUGAUCAGUGAACAGAACAGAUCUUACCCAGAAUGAUAGUGUUUUUCUGCGCAGCUGAUGAUUGUUACAUGACACGUGGGGACACAACCAAUGUAUAAACAGUAAUACGACAUUAGAGCAGUCCACAGAGAAAUUUAAUGCCUUUCAUUUUUCCUAAACCACACUCUGUGACCCAUUUUCUGACCUAGAAUAUGUUGUGUCUCAAUAAAGGGCAAGGAGACCAACGUCACUGUUAACUAGUCUUUGAAUAAUUAACAGGGCUGACAGUUCAGAUCUCAGUAAAUAGUCUCCAGUACUUUUAUGUGAAAUGUUAAUUACAGCAUUUCAGGCCUCACUAGUUAAUUGAAUUGUUAGCCAGAGAAUUUAACAUUUACUUUCUAUUGACCACAUGCUGUGUUAGAGGAAUGAGAAUCUGCUCUCUGGGGAUGGUUGUACUAAAGCAGCAUUCUUUUUUCUUAGUAGCAAUGCGCAGGAAGCAUCAUAAAAACACAACAGUAGCCUGGUAGAGCUUGAGAACUGAGCAAUUAACCAUGGCCUCUUCAUGGUAGUUAUUCUGCUGUAACUUAAAGCUCUGCCAGAUAUUUGCCACUAUCAUCUUUGGAUCGAAUGAUGGAAAAUGCAUAUGUCAACAUUUUCUGCAGUGGGAAGGGAGGCUUUUCAAGUACUUUGUGUAGUAAGUGUGCUGACCUAGUUAUUUUUCUAAAAUUGGCAGAUGCUCAUAUGUCUCCUUGAGAAACUCAGUAUCUUCUUAGGCUAUAGAAGGAUAACACAGAUUUCUGCAUAGACUAUGAGAGAACUUUUGAUUUUGCAAUAACUACCCAUUUUUCAAAUACCUUCUUUGUGCACAUAUACCUGCCAUUGUGCUCAUAGUAAUAUCUAAUAUUACUAAAUCUUUACUAAGUUUUAAGGCUUUUAUGUGCAAUCCCCCUAACAACCUGGUGAGAUAGGGUCUGUUAUUAUUCUCAUUUUUAAGAUGAAGAAACAGUGGUAUUAAAAGGCAAAUAAAUGGUAGAUCUGCCAUUAGAAUCCAGGCUAAUAUCUUUGUUCAUGCUCCUAAACUACAUGCAAAAAGGAGAAUGGCAUUUCAGAAAUGGAAUAGCAGGUUAAAAAAAAAAACCCUAAUCUGGGGAAAAAAAUGGUGAGUUCUAGAACCUAAAUGGAGAAAAAUGUCUAGAGUGCAAGACACACUGGUCUCCAUUUAAUUCCUAGAACAAGGGUAAAGUGCGUAUGCCGGUAAGAUUGGAAUGGAAACUGGGAUCAAAUAAUUCGGGGCUUUAAAGAUUAUGAUAAGGAAUUUAGAUGUUGCUCUCAGAAAAAUAGGAAACCACCAUUUCUCAAUUUUAAAAGAUGACUCAUGCAGUUAUGUGGAAAAUGGGCUGUCUGCUUCUUUUUGUAAAUAGAUUUUAUAGAAACACAGGCACAUCUGUUUGUUUACAUAUUGUCCAUGGCUGCUUUCAUGCUAUCAUGGCAGAGGUGAGUAGUAGAAAUAGAGACAGGAUGGCCCAGAAAGCCUAAACUAUUGGCUAUCUGGAACUUUGUAGGAAAAUUUGUGGACCUCAGAGGGUAGAGGAUAAAGUCGAGAGAGACCAUUUAAGAAGCUAUUUAAAUGCACACAGUGAAGAGAUAAUAGGGGGAUGGCUGCGGAGGUGAAGAGAGGACUUAUUUAAGAUAUGGUUUUUUUCUUUUCUUUCUUUUUGUUUUUUUUGAGAUGGAGUCUUGCUCUUGUCACCCUUGUCACCAAGGCUGAAGUGCAAUGGCAUUAUCGGCACACUGCAACUUCCGCCUCCCAGGUUCAAGCAAUUCUCCUGCCUCAGCCUCCCCAGUAGCUGGGAUUACAGGCACCCACCACCAUGCCCGGCUAAUUUUUGUAGUUUUAGUAAAGAUGG
rnacentral:lncRNA from 1 species